UGUGGUACACCAACGACCCGGAUGAAAGGGGUGAAGAUGAAGGGUCGCCAUUCAAAAGGGAAACUCACAUUGCAAAAAGGGAAAACUCCAUUUGAAAUGGAGACUGCAUGGCCCUGCAAACUCCCUCCUACUGUGUAGAGAUGGCAUGCCUAUCUACUGCCUCAAACCCUUCUCAUACUCAAUCUUUUUCUCUCUCUACCAAUGCUCCCACUCCCUCUCUCUCUAAACCAUACGAAUUCAGCUAUCAUUCCCUUUCUAUCUCUAAAAUCAGACGAGCCCUAUCUCUCCCUCGCACCCUCUCUCUCUCUGUAAACCAGAAAUACAGAAAUCGCUCCCACUCGCCAUUUAUGUUCUUUCUCUGCUCCUCUCAUACGCAAUCUCUCUCUCUCUCUCUCUCUCUCUCUCUCCCCGUUUUCCUCCCUAUCUUUCAAAAACUAUAGCAGGGAAGUCCUACCAAACUGUCGUCUCCCUCUCUCUACACCUUCCGGACGACAACAGAAGUGGAAGCCCUCUCUCGCUCGCUGUCACAGAGGUUCACAAAUAGUUCAUGUUCCCUUAAGCCAACAAAGAUGCUCCUCAGUCUCUCUCCAUGUGUUCCAUACUUUUAUCACUAUGUAUUUUGGUAAAAGAUUAACACUAUUCUCCGCUAUUUCAGUGUGUAAUAGAUCAAGACUAUUCUUAUUAAUGUAGGUCGAAAAGAUGCUCCACAGAAGAUGUGGUAAAUUUUUG